GUCCACGCCGUAAACGAUGAGUGCUAGUUGUUGGGAAGUUUACUUCUCAGUGACGCAGCUAACGCGAUAAGCACUCCGCCUGGGGAGUACGGCCGCAAGGUUAAAACUCAAAGGAAUUUACGGGGGCCCGCACAAGCGGUGGAGCAUGUGGUUUAAUUCGAAGCAACGCGAAGAACCUUACCAGCUCUUGACAUGGGUAUCGCGAGAUCCAGAGAUGGAUCUCUUCAGUUCGGCUGGAUACCACACAGGUGCUGCAUGGCUGUCGU
rnacentral:rRNA from 1 species